rnacentral:snRNA from 1 species
GAAUGGAUUAACGAGAUUCCCA